rnacentral:rRNA from 1 species
CUAAAAUUGGCCAACUCCCUAACCAUUGUGAACGCUACCUAAACCGUUGCUUCGGCGGGCGGCCCCGGGGUUCUCCCCGGGCGCCCCUGGGCCCCAUCGCGGGCGCCCGCCGGAGGUCACCAAACUCUUGAUAAUUUAUGGCCUCUCUGAGUCUUCUGUACUGAAUAAGUCAAAACUUUCAACAACGGAUCUCUUGGUUCUGGCAUCGAUGAAGAACGCAGCGAAAUGCGAUAAGUAAUGUGAAUUGCAGAAUUCAGUGAAUCAUCGAAUCUUUGAACGCACAUUGCGCCCGCCAGUAUUCUGGCGGGCAUGCCUGUUCGAGCGUCAUUUCAACCAUCAAGCCCCCGGCUUGUGUUGGGGACCUGCGGCUGCCGCAGGCCCCGAAAAGCAGUGGCGGGCUCGCUGUCACACCGAGCGUAGUAGCAUACAUCUCGCUCUGGGCGUGCUGCGGGUUCCGGCCGUUAAACCACCUUCAUAACCCAAGGUUGACCUCGGAUCAGGUAGGAAGACCCGCUGAACUUAAGCAUAUCAAUAAAGCGGAGGAAA